rnacentral:rRNA from 1 species
GACAGAGGUGCCGAGCGUUAGGCGGAAUCACUGGGCUUAAAGCGUGUGUAGGCGGGUCCGUAAGUACCUUGUGAAAUCCCACGGCUCAACCGUGGAACUGCUUGGUAUACUGCGGGUCUUGAGCCACCUAGGGGCAAGUGGAACAAAUGGUGGAGCGGUGAAAUGCGUAGAUAUCAUUUGGAACGCCAACGGUGAAAACAGCUCGCUGGGGGUGUGCUGACGCUGAGACACGAAAGCCAGGGUAGCGAACGGG